rnacentral:lncRNA from 1 species
AAAUGGAUUCUUCCAGAACACCAGUGGCCAUGCAAUUGCUGAAGUAGCCAAGCUCCUGUGCAUUGUAAAUGUCAGCCUUGUUCCAACACCUCUGCUAAGAUAUGGAGUUACCAGUAAGGAGCUCCACCGUGACUCUCCUCCCUGCUCCGUUGCCCCGACGAGGAAGUGUGAAAACGUUUCUGGCUCCAUCCAAGAGUUACUUCCCUGAAGAAGAGAGGGCUUUGUUGAAGUCUUCCCAUGCUUUCUGCACAGGGCUCUGGCCUUGGAGAAGGGAUUUCCAGUUACCGCAGUGUCACUUGGCCCUGGGUCUCCUCCCGGGAGAGAGAAGUGUACGGCUCCCAAGGUUCCUGGCAGUUUUGAAAGAGCUCUCAGCCACAGCCAGCUUUACUUUGGCAAGAAGGUGAACACGUGCCCAGCUAAAAGCCUAUAUUUCAGUGUCCCUUGCUGGAAUUGUGGCCAAGGAGAUGUAAGUGGAAGUCACUGGAUGGGAUUCUGGGAAGGCUUUGUGAAGGUGGCUGACCCAGCUGGAAAAAGUGACCUUUUGUACUUCUGUCUUCUCCUUUUUUGUAUCUGCAAAGAAGUGGAAUGACUGGAGCUCCAGCAGCCAUCUUGUGCCUAUGAGUUUCUACAAAGAAUUAUGGAUGAUUUUUAUAUUUAGAAAACCUUUUUUUAUUUGUGGACAUCUAUUACCUGUGGGCCCCACAGCAGCAUGGAAAAGAUUAAAGAUUUGUGUCAGCUUUGACGCUGCCGUUAAUUAUCAGGACAACCUACAGCAAGUCAUGCCAUUUAUCUGGGCCUCACUUUCUUUGGAUUUAAUUAUGGACUAAGCUGUGAUUUUCUGUGUAAUUAAGAACCAAACUAAAGUUUAAAAAAUAUGCCUUUGUUUUAUGGAAGAGUCCAGAGACACCAUCAUUAUACUGUGUGUCUUUAUAAAACCCAUAUACCUUAUUCUUUUGUUUUAUCUAGCUAUUAUAUUGUCUAUAACUUACUUUUAAAUAUUCUAGUAUAGACAGGUGUGUGUGUGUGUGUGCGUGUGUGUGUGUGUAUUCUUAAUCCUCUAUAAGGUUGUAGCUAAAAUUUAAAAUACUUUAACUGGACACACAUCUUUUAGGAGUGGUUGGUAGUGUUUGAAGGACUACUAUAAGGCCUUAAUGAUCUUUAUCUCUAGAGAGUUCUAGAAGGUUCCCUAAUUAGCCUAAUAAAUAAAAGAAGUUAUUUUGCACUGGAAAAUUAAGGAGUGUUGGAGAUAUGUGAUUUGGCUAGUGCUAUUUAAAGACACCCCUGUCCUUGCAUAAAUAGGGUUUAGGAAUCUAGUAAUCCUGGAUUACAAACUUUGUUUGGAGUGAUGCCUAAACCAGGUAUGCCAAUCUGUCUUGUGUCCACAUACUAACAGAGGGUUCUAGCAACUUAAUCCCAUUAGCAUGUUAGCUGAAGACUACUGCUAGAAUGCUGUUAUGUUUGUUUAGAGUUAAUAUUUCAUGGAAAUGUCUGAACCCUGGUACUGUAUUAAACUCAUAGAAAUGGCUUUGUGCCUGUUUGCUAA